rnacentral:rRNA from 1 species
CCUACGGGAGGCAGCAGUCGAGAAUCAUUCACAAUGGGGGAAACCCUGAUGGUGCGACGCCGCGUGGGGGAAUGAAGGUCUUCGGAUUGUAAACCCCUGUCAUGUGGGAGCAAAUUAAAAAGAUAGUACCACAAGAGGAAGAGACGGCUAACUCUGUGCCAGCAGCCGCGGUAAUACAGAGGUCUCAAGCGUUGUUCGGAAUCACUGGGCGUAAAGCGUGCGUAGGCUGUUUCGUAAGUCGUGUGUGAAAGGCGCGGGCUCAACCCGCGGACGGCACAUGAUACUGCGAGACUAGAGUAAGGGAGGGGGAACCGGAAUUCUCGGUGAAGCAGUGAAAUGCGUAGAUAUCGAGAGGAACACUCGUGGCGAAGGCGGGUUCCUGGACAUUAACUGACGCUGAGGCACGAAGGCCAGGGGAGCGAAAGGGAUUAGAUACCCUUGUAGUC